rnacentral:rRNA from 1 species
UACAGAGGUCUCAAGCGUUGUUCGGAUUCAUUGGGCGUAAAGGGUGUGUAGGUGGCGCGCUAAGUCGGGUGUGAAAUUUCGGAGCUUAACUCCGAAACUGCAUUCGAUACUGGCGUGCUUGAGGACUGGAGAGGAGACUGGAAUUUACGGUGUAGCAGUGAAAUGCGUAGAUAUCGUAAGGAAGACCAGUGGCGAAGGCGG